GUGACGGCGUGCCUAUUGAAUAAUGAGCCUACGAGUUACUAAUCACUGGCGAGGUUAAGUGCAUGAAUGCACGGAGCCGAAGCGAAAGCGAGUCUGAACAGGGCGGCUAGUCAGUGGUUGUAGACGCGAAACCUUGCGAUCUACCCUUGAGCAGGUUGAAGGUUGGGUAAAACCAACUGGAGGACCGAACGAAUAAGCGUUGAAAAGCUUCUCGAUGACUUGAGGGUAGGGGUGAAAGGCUAAUCAAGCUGGGAAAUAGCUCGUACUCCCCGAAAUGCCUUUAGGGGCAGCGUUGUAAUUGAGAGUCUACUGGAGGUAGAGCUACUGAUUGGAUGCGGGGGCUUCACCGCCUACCAAAUCCUGACAAACUCCGAAUGCCAGUAGUAUGAUUUACAGCAGUGAGCGACCGGGUGCUAAUGUCCGGUUACGAGAGUGGAACAACACAGACCAGCAACUAAGGUCCCGAAGAGUAUACUAAGUUGAUCUAACGAUGUUUUGCUGCAGAGACAGCUAGGAUGUUAGCUUGGAAGCAGCUAUUCAUUCAAAGAGUGCGUAACAGCUCACUAGUCGAGCGGCAAAGCGUGGAUAAUAAACGGGCAUCAAGUAUACCACCGAAGUUCUGGGCACGAGAGUGCGGUAGGGGAGCAUUCCAUUGACGUCGAAGCCCUUCCGUGAGGAUAGGUGGAGUUUAUGGAAAAGCAAAUGUAGGCAUGAGUAACGAUAAUGCGGGAGAGUAACCCGCACACCGCAAGACCAAGGUUUCCUGAUCAACGCUAAUCGGAUCAGGGUUAGUCGGGUCCUAAGGGUAAGCCGAACGGCGAUCUCGAUGGAUAAUCGGUUAAUAUUCCGAUACUAACAUAUACCUCGAUGGAGAGACGAAGGAACGUAAGUGCCGCCACCUGACGGAAUAGGUGGUUAAAGGGCGUAGAUAUAGGGGCAGAUUAAGAGUUAGUCCUUGCUGAAACCUGACAGUACAGAGAGCCUACGGGCAAUUUGAUAGAGCACCCAAGUCGACUUCCGAGAAAAUCUUCUAAGUUAUAGUAUAUGUUACCCGUACCGUAAACCGACACAGGUGGUCGAGGAGAGUAUCCUAAGGUGCUCGAGUGAAUCACGGUUAAGGAACUAGGCAAAUUAGCCCCGUAACUUCGGGAAAAGGGGUCCCUAUGAAAGUAGGGCGCAGCGAAGAGGUCCAGGCGACUGUUUAUCAAAAACACAGGGCUCUGCAAAUUCGAAAGAAGACGUAUAGGGCCUGACACCUGCCCGGUGCUGGAAGGUUAAGAGGAGAUGUCAUCGCAAGAGAAGCAUUGAAUCGAAGCCCCAGUAAACGGCGGCCGUAACUAUAACGGUCCUAAGGUAGCGAAAUUCCUUGUCGGGUAAGUUCCGACCUGCACGAAUGGUGUAACGAUCUGGACACUGUCUCAACCGUGAGCUCGGUGAAAUUGUAGUCCCGGUGAUGAUGCCGGGUACCCGCAACGGGACGAAAAGACCCCGUGAACCUUUACUAUAGCUUAACGCUGAAUUUGGGUACACAAUGUGUAGGAUAGGCAGGAGACUACGAAGCGGGCACGCCAGUGUUCGUGGAGUCGACGUUGAAAUACUGCCCUUUGUGUACUUGAGUUCUAACCCUCGAGAGGGGACACCGUUUGGUGGGUAGUUUGACUGGGGUGGUCGCCUCCAAAAGAGUAACGGAGGCUUCCCAAGGUACCCUCAGCACGAAUGGUAACCGUGCGUAGAGUGCAAUAGCAUAAGGGUGCUUGACUGUGAGACCAACAAGUCGAUCAGGUGCGAAAGCAGGGUAUAGUGAUCCGGUGGUUCUGCGUGGACUGGCCAUCGCUCAAAGGAUAAAAGGUACUCCGGGGAUAACAGGCUGAUCGCCGCCAAGAGCUCAUAUCGACGCGGCGGUUUGGCACCUCGAUGUCGGCUCGUCACAUCCUGGGGCUGGAGAAGGUCCCAAGGGUUCGGCUGUUCGCCGAUUAAAGUGGCACGCGAGCUGGGUUCAGAACGUCGUGAGACAGUUCGGUCCC
rnacentral:rRNA from 1 species